rnacentral:rRNA from 1 species
UACGUAGGGUCCGAGCGUUGUCCGGAGUGACUGGGCGUAAAGCACGUGCAGGCGGCCCCUCAGGCACGACGUGAAAGCCCCGGGCUCAACCCGGGAGGGUCGUCGUGAACCGUGGGGCUUGAGGCCGGUAGAGGUGGGUGGAACUCCUGGUGGAGUGGUGAAAUGCGUAGAGAUCAGGAAGAACACCCGUGGCGAAGGCGGCUCUCUGGGACGGUA